rnacentral:rRNA from 1 species
UAAAGAAAGCGUAAUAGCUCACUGGUCGAGUCGGCCUGCGCGGAAGAUGUAACGGGGCUAAACCAUGCACCGAAGCUGCGGCAGCGACACUAUGUGUUGUUGGGUAGGGGAGCGUUCUGUAAGCCUGUGAAGGUGUACUGUGAGGUAUGCUGGAGGUAUCAGAAGUGCGAAUGCUGACAUAAGUAACGAUAAAGCGGGUGAAAAGCCCGCUCGCCGGAAGAC